GUCUUUUUGUUUAUAAUAUAAAGUCUGACCUGCCCACUGAAUUUUUAAAGGCCGCGGUAUUUUGACCGUGCGAAGGUAGCAUAAUAAUUAGUUUUUUAAUUGAAAGCUGGAAUGAAUGGUCGAACGAGGAAAUAGCUGUCUCUGUAUUAGUUUAUUAGAAUUUUAUUUUUAAGUCAAAAAGCUUAAAUGAAUUUAAAAGACGAGAAGACCCUAUAGAGUUUUAUAGAAUAGAAUAUUAAAGGUAGUUAGAAUUUUUAAUUUUUAAUAUUUAUGUCUAUUUUGUUGGGGUGAUAGAAAAAUUUGAAUAACUUUUUUUAAAUUUUAACAUUGAUUUAUGAUUAAAUGAUCCAUGUUUUAUGAUUAUAAGAUUAAAUUACCUUAGGGAUAACAGCGUAAUUUCUUUAAAGAGUUCAAAUCGAAAAAGAAGUUUGCGACCUCGAUGUUGGAUUAAAAUAAAUGUUUGGUGUAGAGGCUUAACUAUUGGGUCUGUUCGACCCUUGAAAUUUU
rnacentral:rRNA from 1 species